CACGUAGGGCGCAAGCGUUUGUCCGGAAUUAUUGGGCGUAAAGAGCUCGUAGGCGGUCUGUUGCGUCCGCUGUGAAAACUCGGGGCUUAACCCCGAGCCUGCAGUGGAUACGGGCAGACUAGAGGUAGGUAGGGGAGAAUGGAAUUCCCAGUGUAGAGGUGAAAUUCGUAGAUAUUGGGAAGAACACCGGUGGCGAAGGCGGCUCACUGGCUCAUUUCUGGCGCUCAGGCGCGACAGCGUGGGGGAUCAAACAGG
rnacentral:rRNA from 1 species